rnacentral:lncRNA from 1 species
GACCUGGCGACCUGACCUCCUCUGGGCGCCACGACCCUGUGGGACUUGCUCAGGCACUAGGCGACCAGCUCGGCCACAGUGGCCCACCUUUUUGGGGGACCCCCCUAGGUGCCAGGGGCGGAAAUAAAGUGGACUGGAAGGGCCACUCGAUUGGACGACUCUAGUAAAACAUUGACUUUUUGCUUAUCCCAGGAAGCCACGCCAGCUUCUAUUUAAAUUACUCCAGGAGUUCGAUCUCUGUUGUGUCAAAACUAUUUUUACAGAGAACCCCGAAAGGGGCUUCUCCAGAAAUAAUUUGUCACGAGGAUAAAGACAUUUCUUCCGUUCUUUUCCAUCAGAUGACAGAACAAUGUCCUUCCAAGAAUAUUGGUGGCUCUAAAACUGACCAAGCAUGCCUACCUGCGAAGACAGUGAUUUCAUUUAUCUUUCUCUAAGGCGGGUCAGGAAGAUAAAAGAGUGAAAUGAGCAGGUUGGCAAACCAGGAAGAUGGACUCCAGACAUACACACAACAUUAAUUGUCUAGGCUGGCUCAUGUCAUGAUAAAAGACGUUGAACAUCAGAAGGCCAUCGUUCUGAUCUCUGCGCUAUAAUUUACUCAGGCAAGAACGCAGCUCAGAAAAUGGAAAUCGAGGGCCAUCUUCCUUACCAACCUUCCCUGGAAACAGCGGAUGUCUGGUGGAACUCAGCCAACAGUUUGAAGAAAACACAGUGACG